GUACUUCUGAAGAGUCCCAAACUAGGACGAAACAGCUGUCCAGUAC
rfam:Trichobilharzia regenti genome assembly, scaffold: TRE_scaffold0000243